CGCCUGUCCGGAGCCGCCAGAGCCGCCCGCCUGUCCGGAGCAGUCAGAGCCGCCCGCCAGCCCGAAUCAUCUUAACCAGAAUGGAGCGCUCACAGCUUCUCACUGCUGGCUGUCUGGCAGCACUCUGAGCCUUGACAGUUAGUGUUGGCUGGCCACCCAUGCUGUCACUGUAAGUCUUUCCCUCCAAUGGAGAGCCAGCUGGCCUGGCUGAGACUGAUUCACAUUCCACCACCAGCACACUGGAGACUGCGAGAACUCUUGGAGGACAGAGGAGAGGAGGGAAGGGCAGGGGAGGAGUAGACAGGGGAGGGGGGGAUAGGGGAUGGCAUGAGAGGAGAUCGCAGCAAACAGGGGACAGCCUGAGAACGUUCGGCAACGUUCCCAUUAGGUCCCUUUAGGUUUUCGCCGCAACAUUAUCCCACUGAGAAUGUAGCGUGAUGGUCCCAAGGGAACGUUCUCUGGGGGACCUUUGUGCAGUUCCCUGUAAGUUCCCAAGACGUCACUAAGGACCAUGUCAGGAACUUUUUGACGUUCUCAUGACUUUCAUUUUACUAGUCAUUAGGACGUUGCGUGAUGGUCCCAAAGGAUCUCUGGGGGACAUUUUUAUAGUUCCCAGGUUUGUUCCGGGACGUUUUUAAGACUUUCUUGGGACAUUGUGUCAUGGUCCCUUCAAGGUACCCUGAAUGUUCAUGGGAUAUUCUCUCAUGGUCCCCUGGAAGUUUUCUCUAAUUCCUAGUUUGUCCCCUGGACGUCACCGAGGACGUUUUUAUGACGUUCCUGGGUAGUUGUGUUAUGGUCCCCUGAAGGUCUCCUGAACCUACUUGGGACGGUGUGUCAUGGUCCCUGGAGGUUUUUGUAACGUGAUGGUCUCAUGUGUCCCAAACCAUUAUAAGUAAAUUAAUGAAAUGAUAUGGAGAUUUUAAGGUAAGUAGUAGGAUGUACAGCUAUAAAGUGUAAAAUCUUUAAUCAAUGACAAUAUAAUUACAUUUGACAUGAUCACUUAGUACUGACUUUUCAAUAUGACCACAUGUAACUCAAAACCUCUGGAUUUGGGGUACGCUGACAUUUCUGUUGCGCACAGUGUGUAGAAUUUCUGAUGUCCCCUACACAUUCAUUACUUAUAAUACAUACAGUGCAUUUGAAACUAUUGAGACCCAUUCACCUUUUCCACAGCCUUAUUCUAAAAUGGAUUGAAUGAAACAAAAUCCUCAUCAAUCUACAUACAAUAAUGACAAAGCAAAAACAUUUUUUUUUUCUGCAAAUGUAUUAAAAAUAAAUAAAAAAAUACCUUAUUUAAAUAAAUAUUCAGACCCUUUGCUAUGACUCGAAAUUGAGCUCAGGUGCAUCCUGUUUCCAUUGAUCAUCCUUGAGAUGUUUCUACAACUUGAUUGGGGUCCACCUGUGGUAAAUUGAAUUGAUUGGACAUGAUUUGGAAACACCUGUCUCUAUAAGGUCCCACAUUUGACAGUGUAUGUGUCACGUCCUGACCAUAGAAAGCUGUUAUUUUCUAUGGUAGAGUAGGUCAGGGCGUGACAGGGGGGUGUUCUAGUUUAGUUUUUCUAUGUUGUCAGGUUCUAGUUUUGUAUAUCUAUGUUGGGUUUUGUUUGGGAUGAUCUCCAAUUAGAGGCAGCUGGUCCUCCUUGUCUCUAAUUGGAGAUCAUACUUAAGUAGGGUUUUUUUCCACCUGAGUUUGUGGGAGAUUGUCUUUGAGUCAGUGUUUGUUUCACCUCUGCGUCACGGUUUGUUGUUUUGUUAUUCAGUUUAUUUAUAUGUAUUGCAUAGUUUCACAUUGAAAAUAAAAUGUGGAACGACACACACGCUGCACUUUGGUCCGCUCUUCCUACGACAGCCGUGACAGAAUCUCUCACCACCAAAGGACCAAGCAUCGUACCCAGGAGAAACAGGAAUGGACCUGGGAGGAAAUUCUGGACGGGAAAGGACCCUGGAGUCAGGCUGGGGAGUAUCGCCGUCCGAAAGAGGAGAUUGAGGCAGCGAAAGCGGACCGGCGAUAUUACGAGGCACUAUACCAACUACGAGGCAAGUGCGAGAGGCAGCCCCCAAAAUUGUUUUUGGGGGGGGCACACGGGGAGAUUGGCAGAGUCAGGGUGGAGACCUGAGCCAACUCCCCGGGCUUACUGUGGGGAGCGAGUGAUGAAGCAAAUACCGUGUUAUGCGGUGAUGCGCACUGUGUCGCCAGUGCGCAUUCACAGCCCAGUGUGAUCUGUGCCCGCACCCCGCAUUUGUCGAGCUAGGUUGAGCAUCCAGCCAGGACGGGUUAUGUCAGCUCUACACUCGAGACCUCCAGUGCGCCUCCACGGCCCAGUAUAUCCUGUGCCUGCCCCACGUGCCCGGCCUCCAGUGAGUCUAUCCAGCCUGGUACGCCCUGUGCCUGCUCCACGCACUUGCCCUGAGGUGCGUAUUACCAGUCUGGCGCCACCUGUGCCAGCCCCACGCAUCAGGCCUCCAGUGCGCAUUCCCAGUCC
rnacentral:lncRNA from 1 species